ensembl:lncRNA novel transcript
ACAGAAAGCCAGAGGGGAGGACGUGGGGCUAUCAGUCCAACUCCUCAGUUAAUAGCCAGGGAAACAGAAGCCCAGGGAGAUAAAGACGGUGGCAGAGGAGGAAUUCUUUCUUAGCAGAUCUUCCAUUCCUAAUCCAGGAUCAUUUCCAGGGCUCCCAGAACUCUUACCAAAACAGGAAUAGAAGACAUAGGGUGCAACCAUUUCUCCAGGCUGAAACAGAGCCCCUGAGGAAGGAGCAAAUCUGAAGUUCCCCUGCACCCAGGGCUUUGAUUCAGAUAUUGUUGGAGAGAGCAUUGCAUGGCUCAUGACUCACUAGGUGGUGGAUAAGCUCAUUGAGGAGAAAUCUUUUGCCACAUUUGGAGAAAGGAUUGAAGAGAAAUGAGAGCCUGGAUGUGAAGAAAACAUUAGGAAGCUGCAGCAGUAACCUAUGUGAGAAAUUAAGAGAACCUAAAUCAGAUCCGUUGGCCAUCAAGAUUUCACUCAUUUUGAGACCUAGAGAUUGGUGCUCCUGGAGCUGUGAAAUGCGUGGCCUCUGUAGCCCUGUGAAGGUCUUGUUUCUAUGGCGAUACAAGAGAAAGUCUUUGCAGAGUUGUUGCAGCUGGAAGUCUUCACUUACUUUAAGAGCUCAUUAAAGCUAGUGGAGGUAAAGGGCAGGUGGAGAUCCUGAAAGUGCCUAGCAGAGGUUGAAACUUUAUAGCAAAGUUAAGAGUCAGUAGGAGCACACAAAGAAUUCCUUUCUUGUCAUUGUAAUUACCUUACAUAGGCAUGAAACUUUCCAAACCUAUCUAACAUCAACUUUACAUAUUCAUAAUAUUUUUUACGUACAGCCUUAACAUUUGGUCUGAGACAACUUUUUAGACAAUUUAGACAAUUUUUCAAACUACUUUUUUGAGGAAGCAGAGUAUUAUAUGGCAGCUACAGAAUGAUAAAGGAUGACUGGAGAGUUUUCUCUUCAGAAAAAAGAACAAACUUUUCUUCAUGUGAAAGGUAAACAGAGAGAGAGAAGUUCAGCAGCAUAAUUAAUAAGAUGGUUCUGCAAUGUCUAAUAACUUCUCCUUUUUGUUUGCCUCUGUACACAAUAAAAGUGUUAAAGUAUAAUUUUCAAAAAAA